GUAGGUGCAGCGUUGUCCGGAAUUAUUGGGCGUAAAGCGCGCGCAGGCGGUUCGUUUAAGUCUGAUGGUGAAAAGACCCACGGGCUCAACCGUGGAGGGUCAUUGGAAACUGGAGAACUUGAGUACAGAAGAGGAAAGCGGAAUUCCACGUGUAGCGGUGAAAUGCGUAGAGAUGUGGAGGAACACCAGUGGCGAAGGCGGCUUUCUGGUCUGUAACUGACGCUGAGGCGCGAAAGCGUGGGGAGCAAACAGGAUUAGAUACCCUGGUAGCCCACGCCGUAAACGAUGAGUGCUAAGUGUUAGGGGGUUUCCGCCCCUUAGUGCUGCAGCUAACGCAUUAAGCACUCCGCCUGGGGAGUACGGCCGCAAGGCUG
rnacentral:rRNA from 1 species